CACGUAGGCACCAAGCGUUGUCCGGAUUUAUUGGGCGUAAAGAGCUCGUAGGCGGUUCAGUAAGUCGGGUGUGAAAACUCUGGGCUCAACCCAGAGAUGCCACCCGAUACUGCUGUGACUUGAGUACGGUAGGGGAGCAGGGAAUUCCUGGUGUAGCGGUGAAAUGCGCAGAUAUCAGGAGGAACACCGAUUGCGAAGGCAGCUCGCUGGGACGUCACUGACGCUGAGACGCGAAAGCGUGGGGAGCAAACAGG
rnacentral:rRNA from 1 species